rfam:Streptococcus sp. DF1 DF1_Contig11, whole genome shotgun sequence.
UGAGUGUUAUGAUGGUGGUAUAGGUGAAGAGAAUAUAUCUUUUCUAACGAAAGUUGGCCUGUACUUAGUCUAGCUCUGGCUUUCCGGGGUAGGUUACCUACUCCGGA